GACGAACGCUGGCGGCGUGCUUAACACAUGCAAGUCGAACGCUGAAGCUCAGCUUUUGUUGGGUGGAUGAGUGGCGAACGGGUGAGUAACACGUGAGUAACCUGCCCCCUUCUUUGGGAUAACGCCCGGAAACGGGUGCUAAUACUGGAUAUUCACUGGUCUUCGCAUGGGGGUUGGUGGAAAGGGUUUUUCUGGUGGGGGAUGGGCUCGCGGCCUAUCGGCUUGUUGGGGGGGUGAUGGCCUACCAAGGCUUUGACGGGUAGCAGGCCUGAGAGGGUGACCGGUCACAUUGGGACUGAGAUACGGCCCAGACUCCGACGGGAGGCAGCAGUGGGGAAUAUUGCACAAUGGGCGCAAGCCUGAUGCAGCGACGCCGCGUGAGGGAUGGAGGCCUUCGGGUUGUGAACCUCUUUCGCACAUGGUCAAGCCGCAACAAUGGUUGUGGUGAGGGUAGUGGGUAAAGAAGCGCCGGCUAACUACGUG
rnacentral:rRNA from 1 species